UACGAAGGGUGCAAGCGUUACUCGGAAUUACUGGGCGUAAAGCGUGCGUAGGCGGUUCGUUAAGUCUGAUGUGAAAGCCCUGGGCUCAACCUGGGAAUGGCAUUGGAAACUGGCGACCUAGAGUGCGGUAGAGGGUAGUGGAAUUCCCGGUGUAGCAGUGAAAUGCGUAGAUAUCGGGAGGAACACCGGUGGCGAAGGCGGCGACCUGGGUAGAUACUGACGCUGAGGUGCGAAAGCGUGGGGAGCAAACAGG
rnacentral:rRNA from 1 species